rnacentral:rRNA from 1 species
GAUCGGAUCGCGGCGACGAGGCAGGUUCGCCGCCCGCGACGUUGUGAGAAGUCCACUGAACCUUAUCAUUUAGAGGAAGGAGAAGUCGUAACAAGGUUUCCGUAGGUGAACCUGCGGAAGGAUCAUUG